rnacentral:rRNA from 1 species
AAGGCCUGCAGCUUGCUGCGGGUACUCGAGUGGCGAACGGGUGAGUAACACGUGGGUGAUCUGCCUUGCACUUCGGGAUAAGCUUGGGAAACUGGGUCUAAUACCGGAUAGGACAGCUGUUUAGUGUCAGUUGUGGAAAGUUUUUUCGGUGCAAGAUGAGCUCGCGGCCUAUCAGCUUGUUGGUGGGGUAAUGGCCUACCAAGGCGUCGACGGGUAGCCGGCCUGAGAGGGUGUACGGCCACAUUGGGACUGAGAUACGGCCCAGACUCCUACGGGAGGCAGCAGUGGGGAAUAUUGCACAAUGGGCGGAAGCCUGAUGCAGCGACGCCGCGUGGGGGAUGAAGGCCUUCGGGUUGUAAACUCCUUUCGACAGGGACGAAGCGUAAGUGACGGUACCUGUAUAAGAAGCACCGGCUAACUACGUGCCAGCAGCCGCGGUAAUACGUAGGGUGCGAGCGUUGUCCGGAAUUACUGGGCGUAAAGAGCUCGUAGGUGGUUUGUCGCGUCGUCUGUGAAAUUCCGGGGCUUAACUCCGGGCGUGCAGGCGAUACGGGCUGACUUGAGUGCUGUAGGGGAGACUGGAAUUCCUGGUGUAGCGGUGAAAUGCGCAGAUAUCAGGAGGAACACCGAUGGCGAAGGCGGGUCUCUGGGCAGUAACUGACGCUGAGGAGCGAAAGCAUGGGUAGCGAACAGGAUUAGAUACCCUGGUAGUCCAUGCCGUAAACGGUGGGCGCUAGGUGUAGGGGGCUUCCACGUCUUCUGUGCCGUAGCUGACGCAUAAGCGCCCCGCCUGGGGAUACGCCGCAAGGCUA